AACUUGUCCAAAAACCAAGAUGCUGAAAAUAGUAUUUGUAAUGACCCGACCCACUAGCAACAAUAACUCGUUGGGCCCAAACCAUCGGCCCAAAAUGCUUAAGCCCAGUUAUUAUUAUUAGGGUGUAGGCCUUAUAUAAACCGAUCGAAAUCAGUAUCCCACCCGAUGUGGGACUAUUGGGGGCGUUACAGUAUUCCCCAAGCCUCUUA
rnacentral:lncRNA from 1 species